UCUGCCUUGUAGUGGGGGAUAACUUGCCGAAAGGUAAGCUAAUACCGCAUACGCCCUAAGGGGGAAAGCAGGGGACUCUUCGGAGCCUUGCGCUAUUAGAUGAGCCUAGGUCGGAUUAGUUAGUUGGUGGGGUAAUGGCUCACCAAGACCGCGAUCCGUAACUGGUCUGAGAGGAUGAUCAGUCACACUGGAACUGAGACACGGUCCAGACUCCUACGGGAGGCAGCAGUGGGGAAUAUUGGACAAUGGGGGGAACCCUGAUCCAGCCAUGCCGCGUGUGUGAAGAAGGCCUUCGGGUUGUAAAGCACUUUAAUUUGGGAGGAAGGGCUUACGGUUAAUAACCGCUAAGUUUUGACGUUACCAAAAGAAUAAGCACCGGCUAACUUCGUGCCAGCAGCCGCGGUAAUACGAAGGGUGCGAGCGUUAAUCGGAAUUACUGGGCGUAAAGCGCGCGUAGGUGGUUCAUUAAGUUAGGAGUGAAAGCCCCGGGCUCAACCUGGGAAUUGCUUCUAGAACUCGUGAGCUAGAGUACGGUAGAGGGUGGUGGAAUUUCCUGUGUAGCGGUGAAAUGCGUAAAUAUAGGAAAGGAACAUCAGUGGCGAAGGCGACCACCUGGACUGAUACUGACACUGAGGUGCGAAAGCGUGGGGAGCAAACAGGAUUAAAUACCCUGGUAGUCCACGCCGUAAACGAUGUCAACUA
rnacentral:rRNA from 1 species